UUUUAAAAAAUAAUUACUUAUUUUAAACAUACUCUUUAAUUAUUACCAUUUAUAACAGCUUCUUUAAUUUCUCUCUUUUCUCUGUCUCGCUCUUUCUCCCUUCCUUUUUUUUCUUUCUUUCUUUCUGUUAUUCAUUCUCCCUUCCUUUCUUUUUUGUUGCUCUUUCUCCCUUUCUUACUAUUGUUCUUUUUCCUUUUUUUUCGUAGUGUAGUCAAUGAUUUUAGACUGAAUAAAACUUGUAUCAAUAAUUAAUUAGACAAGUAAUUUAAUCGUAACAAAUAAAGAGACAUAAGAAACUGCAAAAUGAAUUAAACUUGAAUUAAAAAUGUAUUACAAACAUAUUAAAGUUGAAUUAUUAUAAGAGAAUCAAACAUGAAUGCAAAAUGUAGCAAACAAANN
rnacentral:lncRNA from 1 species